rnacentral:rRNA from 1 species
CGAGCGGCGGACGGGUGAGUAAUACUUAGGAAUCUACCUAGUAGUGGGGGAUAGCACGGGGAAACUCGUAUUAAUACCGCAUACGACCUACGGGAGAAAGGGGGCAGUUUACUGCUCUCGCUAUUAGAUGAGCCUAAGUCGGAUUAGCUAGAUGGUGGGGUAAAGGCCUACCAUGGCGACGAUCUGUAGCUGGUCUGAGAGGAUGAUCAGCCACACCGGGACUGAGACACGGCCCGGACUCCUACGGGAGGCAGCAGUGGGGAAUAUUGGACAAUGGGGGAAACCCUGAUCCAGCCAUGCCGCGUGUGUGAAGAAGGCCUUUUGGUUGUAAAGCACUUUAAGCAGUGAAGAAGACUCCGUGGUUAAUACCCACGGACGAUGACAUUAGCUGCAGAAUAAGCACCGGCUAACUCUGUGCCAGCAGCCGCGGUAAUACAGAGGGUGCAAGCGUUAAUCGGAAUUACUGGGCGUAAAGGGAGCGUAGGUGGCUCGAUAAGUCAGAUGUGAAAUCCCCGGGCUCAACCUGGGAACUGCAUCUGAUACUGUUGAGCUAGAGUAUGUGAGAGGAAGGUAGAAUUCCAGGUGUAGCGGUGAAAUGCGUAGAGAUCUGGAGGAAUACCGAUGGCGAAGGCAGCCUUCUGGCAUAAUACUGACACUGAGGCUCGAAAGCGUGGGUAGCAAACAGGAUUAGAUACCCUGGUAGUCCACGCCGUAAACGAUGUCUACUAGUCGUUGGGUCCCUUGAGGACUUAGUGACGCAGCUAACGCAAUAAGUAGACCGCCUGGGGAGUACGGCCGCAAGGUUAAAACU